GAAACGGGACCGGUUUCGGUUUCGGUUUAAGUAAUACAUAAAUUCCUUCAGACAGACAAUCAAGGUAUUGGUGAGUUCGCAACGUGUCAGCUCUAAGUCUAACCGAUCUUUUAAUUUGUCUAAAAUAUGUAACCUAUUGUGCUUAAUUUUCUUAUUUUCUGAUACUACUUGCACUAAAGAAUAACAACACUAAUAAUUACUUAAUAAGAUGGCGUUGUUCUCUUUAAAUUUAAAGAAGAUGGAAGAUGAUAUUCAGUUUGCCGUAUGUUAAAUGACUUAGGAAAAGCGAAUAUUUUGAUUUAUAUCAAGUGAAAAAAAAGGAUUCCUACAAAUAUGUGCAAAGUUUACCACCCCUACCAAUGGAAAUAUCAUUGUAAUUACCACCAGCGGUUAUUCACUGAAGAGGGACUGGAAAAUAUUAGACCAG
rnacentral:misc_RNA from 1 species